rnacentral:lncRNA from 1 species
CCCACGGUUGUCUUAGAAACCGGCCCCUGAGGCUUGGCAAAGCAGGAGCCCUCCGUGGCGGUGCUUGGGUGUCGGGGCUGCGAGGCUCCUGCCUCACCUCUCCACGGGGUCGACAGGAACGUCUCCGGACGGACGCCGGGAGUCGCAACGCGCCGGCCAGGAUGACAAAACCGCAGGCGGAGUCCGGGGGAAGCGGCGCGUCGUCCCAGCCUCAGGCCCGCCCGACGGUGUUGGGGUGAGUCUCCCCAAAAGUCUUGCCCCCGUGAUCUCCACGACGGUCCGCCCGCCUGUCCGUGGGCUGCUCUCUCCCCCGAGGGGCCUUCCGCCCGGAGCGAAGCCUGCAGCGUCAGGGGGCUGUGUGCCUGCGGGGGCUGCGUUUCUGUGCCGCUGCUGCCGUGUGACGUGCGUGUCUGCGUCUCUCCCAUCCUCUCUGUCUCUCUGGCCCUCACUCUCUGUGUGUGUCUUUCCCUUUUCUGCCGGUUCGUGUGUGCGUGCCCGUGUGCGGGGUGCGUUCGGACGAAUGCGCCCGGUGCGCCAAAGGCGACUUCUUGCGCGUCGGCCUGGCUCUGCCGAGCCUCUUUCUUCUGCCUCUGUGCCUGGGUCUUGCGGCGGGCUCGUCAGUGUGGUUUCGCCGCCGUUCCACUUGGGGUCCUCCCUGAGGGCCUCGACCGCGUGAGGAGAUGCGUCUUCCCCAGCAGCAGUGGAAAUCUCGUUACCCUUGCCGAGCGGACUCUCUCCUGGGAUCAAGAUAACCACAGUCCAGCCAGGGCAAAAGCCCCAGAGGGGCUCGUCGCCCUGCAGGAGAGGAGCAGACCCGCCUCAGAGGAGACGCUUGUACCUUUUCACGGCUCUUCUCUGAGAAAUGAAGCCGCACCACGGCAGAAGCUUGAAGAGGAAGCCGGGAAGGGGAGAUGCCAGGCCUCCCGGUCCCUGGAAGG